ACUGCUCAGUAACACGUGGAUAACCUGCCCUUGGGUCCGGCAUAACUCCGGGAAACUGGAGAUAAUUCCGGAUAACGCAUAUAUGCUGGAAUGCUUUAUGCGUAAAAUGGAUUCGUCUGCCCAAGGAUGGGUCUGCGGCCUAUCAGGUAGUAGUGGGUGUAAUGUACCUACUAGCCUACGACGGGUACGGGUUGUGAGAGCAAGAGCCCGGAGAUGGAUUCUGAGACAUGAAUCCAGGCCCUACGGGGCGCAGCAGGCGCGAAAACUUUACAAUGCGGGAAACCGUGAUAAGGGGACACCGAGUGCCAGCAUCAUAUGCUGGCUGUCCAGGUGUGUAAAAUACACCUGUUAGCAAGGGCCGGGCAAGACCGGUGCCAGCCGCCGCGGUAACACCGGCGGCCCGAGUGGUGAUCGUGAUUAUUGGGUCUAAAGGGUCCGUAGCCGGUUUGGUCAGUCCUCCGGGAAAUCUGAUAGCUCAACUAUUAGGCUUUCGGAGGAUACUGCCAGACUUGGAACCGGGAGAGGUAAGAGGUACUACAGGGGUAGGAGUGAAAUCUUGUAAUCCCUGUGAGACCACCUGUGGCGAAGGCGUCUUACCAGAACGGGUUCGACGGUGAGGGACGAAAGCUGGGGGCACGAACCGGAUUAGAUACCCGGGUAGUCCCAGCCGUAAACGAUGCUCGCUAGGUGUCAGGCAUGGCGCGACCGUGUCUGGUGCCGCAGGGAAGCCGUGAAGCGAGCCACCUGGGAAGUACGGCCGCAAGGCUGAAACUUAAAGGAAUUGGCGGGGGAGCAC
rnacentral:rRNA from 1 species